GAGUUUGAUCCUGGCUCAGGACGAACGCUGGCGGCGUGCCUAAUACAUGCAAGUAGAACGCUGAAGAGAGGAGCUUGCUCUUCUUGGAUGAGUUGCGAACGGGUGAGUAACGCGUAGGUAACCUGCCUGGUAGCGGGGGAUAACUAUUGGAAACGAUAGCUAAUACCGCAUAAAAUUGAUUAUUGCAUGAUAAUUAAUUGAAAGAUGCAAUUGCAUCACUACCAGAUGGACCUGCGUUGUAUUAGCUAGUUGGUGAGGUAACGGCUCACCAAGGCGACGAUACAUAGCCGACCUGAGAGGGUGAUCGGCCACACUGGGACUGAGACACGGCCCAGACCCCUACGGGAGGCAGCAGUAGGGAAUCUUCGGCAAUGGGGGGAACCCUGACCGAGCAACGCCGCGUGAGUGAAGAAGGUUUUCGGAUCGUAAAGCUCUGUUGUAAGAGAAGAACAGGUGUGAGAGUGGAAAGUUCACACUGUGACGGUAUCUUACCAGAAAGGGACGGCUAACUACGUGCCAGCAGCCGCGGUAAUACGUAGGUCCCGAGCGUUGUCCGGAUUUAUUGGGCGUAAAGCGAGCGCAGGCGGUUAGAUAAGUCUGAAGUUAAAGGCUGUGGCUUAACCAUAGUAUGCUUUGGAAACUGUUUAACUUGAGUGCAGAAGGGGAGAGUGGAAUUCCAUGUGUAGCGGUGAAAUGCGUAGAUAUAUGGAGGAACACCGGUGGCGAAAGCGGCUCUCUGGUCUGUAACUGACGCUGAGGCUCGAAAGCGUGGGGAGCAAACAGGAUUAGAUACCCUGGUAGUCCACGCCGUAAACGAUGAGUGCUAGGUGUUAGGCCCUUUCCGGGGCUUAGUGCCGCAGCUAACGCAUUAAGCACUCCGCCUGGGGAGUACGACCGCAAGGUUGAAACUCAAAGGAAUUGACGGGGGCCCGCACAAGCGGUGGAGCAUGUGGUUUAAUUCGAAGCAACGCGAAGAACCUUACCAGGUCUUGACAUCCCUCUGACCGCUCUAGAGAUAGAGUUUUCCUUCGGGACAGAGGUGACAGGUGGUGCAUGGUUGUCGUCAGCUCGUGUCGUGAGAUGUUGGGUUAAGUCCCGCAACGAGCGCAACCCCUAUUGUUAGUUGCCAUCAUUCAGUUGGGCACUCUAGCGAGACUGCCGGUAAUAAACCGGAGGAAGGUGGGGAUGACGUCAAAUCAUCAUGCCCCCUAUGACCUGGGCUACACACGUGCUACAAUGGCUGGUACGACGAGUCGCAAGCCGGUGACGGCAAGCUAAUCUCUGAAAGCCAGUCUCAGUUCGGAUUGUAGGCUGCAACUCGCCUACAUGAAGUCGGAAUCGCUAGUAAUCGCGGAUCAGCACGCCGCGGUGAAUACGUUCCCGGGCCUUGUACACACCGCCCGUCA
rnacentral:rRNA from 1 species